rnacentral:rRNA from 1 species
CCUACGGGAGGCUGCAGUGAGGAAUAUUGGUCAAUGGGCGCAGGCCUGAACCAGCCAAGUCGCGUGAGGGAAGACUGCCCUAUGGGUUGUAAACCUCUUUUAUAAGGGAAGAAUAAUGACUACGUGUAGUCAGAUGCUCGUACCUUAUGAAUAAGCAUCGGCAAACUCCGAGCCAGCAGCCGCGGUAAUACGGGGGAUGCGAGCGUUAGCCGGAUUACUUGGGUUUAAAGGGUGCGUAGGCGGUAAUUUAAGUUAGUGGUAAAACGUCGGGGCUUAACCUUGAUUGGCCAUUAAAACGGGAGUACGAGAGUACAGACGAGGUGGGCGGAAUAAGUUAAGUAGCGGUGAAAUGCUUAGAUA